GCUUCCUCUCCCUGACCCUCCACCCCCAGCAGCUCCCAGGGGAGAGGCGGCUCGGAGCAGGAAAGGUAGCCCGUGGAGUUGGUUACCCUUCAGAUCUCAGGCCCAAGCCAUGGAGACUCAUGUCCCCAUAAGAAAUCUUUUGCAUUUCCAACUCCAGCACCACACCAGGAAGAAUAUAUCUGAGGUGCCAGUUGCAUCACAGGGCAGAGCUAAGAGAGCACAGAGCCUUUCUGCAGUCUACCCAAAUCACCUGCUAAGGGGAGGAAAUCUCCAUGAUGACUCCUGUUGUGGAUUUCCUUCACCGUUACUCUGUUGGGGCUGCCCUCCCACCUCCCCGCAGAGUAAACCACGGGGCUACGCUAAACCAGGCGGCUCUGCCGGACCUCCGGGCCAGCUACUAGCAUGGCUCUAUAGGAGCUGCACUACCAGGGACUUCCCUUGCUGCAGAUGGACUGCCACAGAGGAGGCAGUAGAGCACUGGGCUGGAGAGAGAUAAUGUCUCCACCACUCCCACCCUCCUGAUUGAGCAGUCUCUACUAGUGACCCCAGGCCUGUGGCUCUCCCUGUGACUUUGGUCAAGUCUUUGAACCUCGCUGUACCUCACUUCCCUAUUCGUUAGAAUGGGGAUGACAGCACUGACCUACAGGGGGCGCCAGGAGAGGCCGUUAUGAAUAUUUAUUCCACACGUGAAGGUAACAUGCUUAAACAGUAUUUGCCUAGGGAGCUGUGGAGGGGCGGCAUUAGGGAAGCUGAGUACAAAGUAGGCAUAUUUACAGUGACACUGGGGGAAUCCCAACCCAAACCAGGGGCCACUGCACUAGGAUGGUUAAUGAUUCCUCCUGUGUGUUGCCUGUGCUGUUUGCGUUUGUACAGCACCAUCCCAUACAGCAUCUGCUGGAACACACUUUGACAUCAGAGGGAGUUUUGCCACUGACUUCAGUGAGGCCAGAGAGAUUAACUGACUCCCCCAUGGUGAUGCAGCACAUCUGUGGCAGAGGAGGAUGGCAGCUUCAGGAGUUCCAAGGCUCUCGGCUCUGAGUUCUAAACCUGCAGUCGAAGCUGCCCCUGCAUUAUAUGGAAACAGUCACACUUAUACUUAAACCAGGACGAGCCCUGGUGAUUAUUAUCUGCAUUAUAGCAGUGCCAAGAGGCCCCAUGGUGCUGGGGCCUGUACAAACAGAGUCAGACAGUCCCUGCCCCGGAAAGCUGACUACACAAUAGUGGCUGGGGGAAACAGAGGUGACGUAGGCUGGUGGCAGAGGCAGGAGUAGAACCCAGGGAUCCUGAGUCCUGGUCCCGUGCCUUAGCCACUAGACUGUGGUGCCUUAAAGGGCACUUGGUAAAUUGUUGUAAAAGUUUUUUUUUUAAAAGCUGCUCUGUUCUGACCAAGCAGCCCCUUCCCCAGUCUGAAGCACUGGCUUUGAUGGAACUGCACCAGGGCCUGAUCUGGUCCGAGCAGUAACUUGUGACGACUGAAACAUUACUGUGGAUUUAUUUAUUGUACUUUAUAGUGCACUCCACAUGGAAGCGCCCACCCCAAGCUCUCAGCAGUUACCCAGAGAUACCCCUACCCUGUCAGCAAUGUGCAGAGGGUAACCCCCCACCACAGAACCAGCCCCACAGCCCCUCAAUCUGCCCAGCCCGCAACUCCCCGUCAGCCCAGAAGAAGCACUGGGCCUUGCAGUGCAUCGUGAAGGAUAACAAACUCAGACUGGUCCAGUCCCUGGGGUGGGGGACCCUGCCAGCAGCCCCUCUUGUAUACCCCUGGAAUCUGGAUCAGGCCUUCUGCUCCCUACAGCUCACCAGGGACGGCAAACUCUCUGGCAAUCCACUCCUCCUUUACUUGCUUGCGCUGCAGAGAACCUCCCGGAGAAAGCACUCGGGCUCGACCUUCUCAAAAGGGCCUAGGGGAGUUAGGUGCUCAAAUCCAGUUGAGAGCCACUGGCAGCCUGGCGCUCCAUGCCCAUGGGGCACUUGGAAAAUCCCACCUUUGAGUCCGCUGUGGUGAUGUCUGUCAUUGGUGAAGAUGGAACCCAGAACGGAGGCCUGGCAAGUAACUAAAGGAGAAACUGAAUUUCAGACCCAUCUACCUAACACCUACACUUGCCCUCAUUCUCUUUGGGAUUUAUUUCUGAAAGUCAUCUUCACUUCUUGGAAAUAAAGGAAAUGAUGUGAGAACCUGUGUGCUGAAACCCUUGGAAUGCUGUGCCAGGAGCUUUGACAUUAUGCGUAUAAUGCCAGGCCUGCCACAUCUUCCCUCAUUGGUAUGGAAACUUCCUUAGUUGGGACUAAUUUUAAGGCAGCUUUUAAAUCUUCCCCUUUCAUGAUGUGUUUCAAUGAGACGUUUAAAAGCGCCCUCAUAAAUCUGGGAAAUUGCCCUCAUUCAGACAGGCCCUGCCUGACAGCCUUGUGAUGGUGUUUA